AAAGUUUGACAGACAAUCGCUGGUGACCUACGGGUCACGAGAGGAAAGUCCGGGCUCCACAGGGCAGGAUGCUGGAUAACGUCCAGUCAGCGCGAGCUGAAGGCUAGUGCCACAGAAAUGGACCGCCGAUGAUCGCUGCCGCUUAAGUCGCAGCGAAACAGGUAAGGGUGGAACCGUGGUGUAAGAGACCACGAGGAGCGAUGGUGACAUCGUUCCUGGUAAACCCCAUCUGGAGCAAGACCUAGAGGAACGCAGUCCCUUGAGGACAGCCUUAGCCCGAGGCGCGUUCGGGUUGGUCGCUUGAGCCGUACAGCAAUGUGCGGCCUAGAUAGAUGAUUGUCGCUUCAACGGUGGGAGGGUGGCCCCCGAUACGACCACUGGAAGCACAGAACCCGGCUUACGGCAAGCUUUCUUA
rnacentral:RNase_P_RNA from 1 species